CGGGGUGUAGCGCAGCUUGGUAGCGCAUCUGCUUUGGGAGCAGAGGGUCGCAGGUUCAAAUCCUGUCACCCCUC
rnacentral:tRNA from 1 species